rnacentral:misc_RNA from 1 species
CAGCAAUGCGGCCUCCUAGCCGGGGCGUAUUAAUUUCUUUUUUCGUUAUUACUCUUUUGUCUUACCAGAUCUCGUAUGUGGUAGGACAAGAAGGUGAUAGCGAUAUCGGAUUAGAUGACAUUAAGGCUAAUGCUAGUAAGUUGAGUUUUGAAAACUCAAGGAUUCGCGAUGCUUAUAUCGCGUUGCAGUAUUGGAAAACAGCAAUGUUUUCUGAUCCUUUUAACUUCACAGCUAAUUGGACAGGUCCAAAUGUGUGUUCCUAUGGUGGAGUGUUUUGUGCUCCUUCGUUAAUGGAUGAUUCGAUUAGAGUUGUAGCUGGCAUUGAUCUUAAUCAUGCUGAUAUUGCUGGUUCAUUAGUUGCAGAACUUGGUCUUCUUACAGAUCUGGUUCUUUUCCAUCUCAACUCGAAUCGUUUUUGUGGAGUUGUACCAAAAACCUUUAGCCAUUUGAAGCUUCUUAGGGAGCUUGAUUUGAGUAAUAAUAGGUUUGUUGGUGGGUUUCCUAAGGUAGUUCUUUCACUACCUUCUUUGAAGUUUUUGGAUCUAAGGUUUAAUGACUUUGAAGGACCAGUUCCUUCAGGACUUUUCGAUAAAGAUUUGGAUGCGUUGUUUUUGAAUGACAAUAGAUUCCGUUUUGGCAUCCCGGAGAACUUGGGUAACUCUCCUGUUUCGGUUCUUGUGUUUGCUAAUAACGAUCUUGGAGGGUGUAUUCCCGCAAGUAUUGGGAAAAUGGGGAAAACGUUGAAUGAGUUGAUAUUGAUGAAUGAUAACCUCACUGGGUGUUUGCCAAUGGAGAUUGGAUUGUUGAACAAGUUAACCGUGUUUGAUGUUAGCUUCAACAAGAUUCAAGGCUCAUUGCCAUCAACUGUGAGCAAAAUGAGGAGUGUGGAGGAACUGAAUGUGGCUCACAACAAGCUUACUGGGGUUAUACCAGCUAGCAUUUGCCAACUUCCUAGGUUGCAAAACUUUACGUAUUCCUUCAAUUACUUCACCGGGGAAGCUCCAGUUUGUGCUGCGACUAGAUCUGGUGACGGCCAGGAGAACUGUAUCGUUGGAAAGAAGAAUCAAAGAUCUGCUAAAGAAUGCUCUUCGGAUGAUGCAAAACCGUAUGAUUGUAGGAAAUCCAAGUGUUAUAGCCCUUUUGCUACAUCUCCUUCGACAAAGCCAAAACCAAAACCAAAGCCAAGAGGCCCACCACCACCUACUUGGAAGUCUUCGGGUUCGCAUAACAAGCGAUCUCCGCCGCCACCUAAAUCAACUCCUCUUCCUCCACCAGCACCUUACAAAAAGUCCCCAACCUAUCAACAUAGAAGUCCACCACCACCUACUCACAAAAUUUCACCUGUAACUCAUCAUUCACCUCCUCCACCCUCACCUGUAUAUUACCACCCAUCUCCAUCGUCCCCACCACCACCAGUUUAUUAUUCUCCACCACCCCCCGUGUAUCAUGAGCCACCACCUACUUACAAGCCUAAAUCACCACCACCACCACCAACAC